AGGCUGAAGGAAGGAAAUUGACCAAUGAUGAAGUCUUUAUCUUCCCAGGUAGCUUCCUCAAUAGGCUUGUUCUUCCAAUGGAUAAGAACUUGAGAAAUAGAUAUGUCAUGUCGGAUGACUGUCCGUUGUUCUAAAGCUGUCUCUGGUUCCCAUAUAGAAUCUUCACUAGCCUCCAAACUAGCAGGAAGAGUUGAAUUAACUACAGCAUCACCAACAGCUUUCUUAAGCAAGGACACAUGGAAAACAGGAUGGAUUCGAGAUGUAGGCGGUAACUCCAACCUGUAAGCAACAGCCCCAACACGUUCAAUCACCUUAAACGGACCAAAAUACCUC
rnacentral:lncRNA from 1 species